rnacentral:rRNA from 1 species
UACGUAGGUGACCAGCGUUGUCCGGAUUUACUGGGCGUAAAGAGCGCGCAGGCGGUCGUUCAAGUCGAGUGUGAAAGCCCCCGGCUCAACUGGGGAGGGUCACUCGAUACUGAUCGACUUGAAGGCAGGAGAGGGAAGCGGAAUUCCCGGUGUAGUGGUGAAAUGCGUAGAUAUCGGGAGGAACACCAGUGGCGAAGGCGGCUUCCUGGCCUGUUCUUGACGCUGAGGCGGACGAAAGCUAGGGGAGCAACGGGG